rnacentral:rRNA from 1 species
UGGGGAAUAUUGCACAAUGGGCGCAAGCCUGAUGCAGCCAUGCCGCGUGUAUGAAGAAGGCCUUCGGGUUGUAAAGUACUUUCAGCGGGGAGGAAGGGAGUAAAGUUAAUACCUUUGCUCAUUGACGUUACCCGCAGAAGAAGCACCGGCUAACUCCGUGCCAGCAGCCGCGGUAAUACGGAGGGUGCAAGCGUUAAUCGGAAUUACUGGGCGUAAAGCGCACGCAGGCGGUUUGUUAAGUCAGAUGUGAAAUCCCCGGGCUCAACCUGGGAACUGCAUCUGAUACUGGUAAGCUUGAGUCUCGUAGAGGGGGGUAGAAUUCCAGGUGUAGCGGUGAAAUGCGUAGAGAUCUGGCGGAAUACCGGUGGCGAAGGCGGCCCCCUGGACGAAGACUGACGCUCAGGUGCGAAAGCGUGGGGAGCAAACAGG